GACGAACGCUGGCGGCGUGCUUAACACAUGCAAGUCGAACGAUGAAGCCGGAGCUUGCUCUGGUGAAUUAGUGGCGAACGGGUGAGUAACACGUGAGUAACCUGCCCUUGACUCUGGGAUAACUGCGGGAAACUGUAGCUAAUACCGGAUACGACCCUCGGAGGCAUCUCCUGGGGGUGGAAAGAAUUUCGGUCAAGGAUGGACUCGCGGCCUAUCAGCUAGUUGGGGAGGUAAAGGCUCACCAAGGCGACGACGGGUAGGCGGCCUGAGAGGGUGAGCGGCCUCACUGGGACUGAGACACGGGCCAGACUCCUACGGGAGGCAGCAGUGGGGAAUAUUGCACAAUGGGCGCAAGCCUGAUGCAGCAACGCCGCGUGAGGGAUGACGGCCUUCGGGUCGUAAACCUCUUUUAGCAGGGAAGAAGCGAAAGUGACGGUACCUGCAGAAAAAGCACCGGCUAACUACGUGCCAGCCGCCGCAGUAA
rnacentral:rRNA from 1 species